AUGGGGCAGCUCAGGCCGGCGGCGGGAGGCGGCGGGGACUGCCUGAUCAAGCUGUUCGGGAAGACCAUCCCCGUGCCGGACGCCGGCGCCGGCGCCAACGCGGGAGACGUCGACAAGGACCUUCAGCACAGAGGCGGCAGCACCACGGCUGAACUAAAGGUGCAAGAAAUCGCCCCUCAGGACUCCACGGGCUCGCCUCAGCAGCCGGAGGUUGUGGACGUCGAGGAUCCAUCCGCUGCCAAGAACUCGGUGGCAGAUCAACAGGACGAAGAGCAGGGGGACACGGCCAACCAGAAGGAGAAGCUCAAGAAGCCUGACAAGAUCCUGCCCUGCCCCCGGUGUAGCAGCAUGGACACCAAGUUCUGCUACUACAACAACUACAACAUCAACCAGCCGCGCCACUUCUGCAAGAACUGCCAGAGGUACUGGACGGCCGGGGGCGCCAUGCGCAACGUGCCUGUGGGCGCGGGCCGCCGCAAGAGCAAGAGUCUAUCCGCCGCCUCCCACUUCCUUCAGAGGAUAAGGGCUGCUCUGCCCGGUGAUCCUCUCUGCACCCCAGUCAACACCAACGGCACGGUGCUCAGCUUCGGCUCCGAUGCGUCUACCUUAGACGUCUCAGAACAGAUGAAGCACAUCAAGGAGCUCGCCUCGGUAACCCGGACUGAGAACACCGAUGCCCCGUCAGUAGGAUCCUCUGCUGAAGGGUGGGCAAAGGGAGAAGAGUCGAGCCAAAUGAACUCGAGGGAGAGAGUUGCAGCAGAUAGAUCCGCAAAUUUUGUGCAGCAUCCGUGCAUGAACGGGGCAGCCAUGUGGCCAUUCAGUUGUGCACCGUCACCUGCCUAUUUCCCCUCAAACGUAGCAAUUCCAUUCUAUCCAGCUGCUGCUGCUGCCUACUGGGGCUGCAUGGUUCCGGGAGCCUGGAACACUCCAUGGCAGCCGCAGCCGCAGCCACAGUCUCAGUGUCAAUCUAACUCACCACCUAGUGCUGCUUCUCCGGUAUCGACAAUGUCCAGUUGCUUCCAAUCCCGAAAGCAUCCUAGAGAUGGUGAUGAGGAAAGAGAUACCAAGGGUAAUGGCAAGGUGUGGGUGCCCAAGACGAUCCGGAUCGAUGACGUAGAUGAGGUGGCCAGGAGUUCUAUCUGGUCACUUAUUGGGAUCAAGGGCGACAAGGUGGAGAAGGAUGAUGGCAAAGGCUGUAAGCUUGCAAGGGUUUUUGAUCCAAAGGAUGAGGCAAAGACGUCAAGCCACAGAGGUAACAAUAGCUUGCCAUUCUUGAAGGGGAACCCAGCUGCACUGUCGCGCUCAGUGAACUUCCAAGAGAGAUCUUGA
rnacentral:rRNA from 1 species